ACGGGUGAGUAAUAUAUCGGAACGUGCCCAAUCGUGGGGGAUAACGUAGAGAAAUUUACGCUAAUACCGCAUACGAUCUAAGGAUGAAAGCGGGGGAUCGCAAGACCUCGCGCGAUUGGAGCGGCUGAUAUCAGAUUAGGUUGUUGGUGAGGUAAAAGCUCACCAAGCCGACGAUCUGUAGCUGGUUUGAGAGAACGACCAGCCACACUGGGACUGAGACACGGCCCAGACUCCCACGGGAGGCAGCAGUGGGGAAUUUUGGACAAUGGGCGAAAGCCUGAUCCAGCAAUGCCGCGUGCAGGAAGAAGGCCUUCGGGUUGUAAACUGCUUUUGUACGGAACGAAACGGUCUGCCCUAAUACGGCGGGCUAAUGACGGUACCGUAAGAAUAAGCACCGGCUAACUACGUGCCAGCAGCCGCGGUAAUACGUAGGGUGCGAGCGUUAAUCGGAAUUACUGGGCGUAAAGCGUGCGCAGGCGGUUAUGUAAGACAGUUGUGAAAUCCCCGGGCUCAACCUGGGAAUUGCAUCUGUGACUGCAUAGCUAGAGUACGGUAGAGGGGGAUGGAAUUCCGCGUGUAGCAGUGAAACGC
rnacentral:rRNA from 1 species